AGAGAUCAGUAUCAUUAUUAAGAAAUGAAUGUCACACCACUCACCAAUAUAUUUCGUGAUCCACAAACAAAUGUAAUAACAUUCGCAAAUAUAAUUCAUACAUUUCAUGAUCCACAAACAAAUGUAACAACAUUCACAAAUAUAAUUCAUGAUGCACAAAUGAAUGUAACCCCAUUCACAAAUGCCAGCGCAGUUCUAUUAAUUUGCAAACCGGUCUACAUAUAUUCGCAAGCCCUAUACAUAUUUGUGACUUCCAUUGUAUUUGUGUGUGGAUUUUUGAGACUGUCCUGACGGUAUUUGACACACAAAUGUGCUCAGCCAAUCACAUCAGCCGGCGUUCGAGCGUAAGGUUGAAGACAUUGCGCUUCUAUUACGCAGAGCAGGCUACUAGUGCGAAGCCACCAUAGAUCUGUAUAAAUAACUGGAAGUAGAGCCAUUACUGAAGUGCUCCCUGACGUAAACUCGGAAGCUUAUGAAGUUACUGACUUUCACAUCAUCUUUGUACAAAUAUGUCUGGAUCUGGACUAACGUGUGCCGUAAUCGGAUGUAACAAUAACAGCAGAAAGCUAAAAAUGUGGAAAAAGAGCGUAUGUGCGCUUCAUAGUCCACAGUUUAAAGAGGAUUGUCCAUGUUGUGUGCCCUACGGUGUACACCGCUUCCCCGGCCGUGCUGAGGAUGAAGACAUUCGCAAGAUGUGGAUUAAAAACGUACACCGAAAGGACUUUGCCCCCAAACAAGUAUUCAAGGGUGUGUGCGGAGUACACUUCCCUGACGGCAGACCAACGCAGGAACACCCAUAUCCCAUAAUAUGGGAUAUGAAUAUAGUAAAGCACCGUCAUGUGGAAGACCACCCCAAAGAGGAGAUGUCUCCAGCCCCCAACAGAGAGACCAUGUGAUGAGCCUCCUGUGACAGAUUCUGACACCGAAGUAGGGCAUAGCUUGGAGGAUAGUCUGUCUCCACACCAAUGUGAUGUUGGCACUCAGUGGCCAGAGCGUAGUGAUCAUGAUUGUUGUUCGAUGAAGUCAACAAAAGAUGCAAGCACACAAACCGAUCCUACACCAUCACUGUCAGAUCAUGACAUGGAUGAUAAAGUGUCAAAACUUUACACUGGACUAGACAUCAUCAGCUUUUGGCAACUUUUGAACACCAUCAUUGGCUUUCUUCCACAGUCGAAGACGUUCAAAUUACCAGUCCAUGAACAGCUAAGUGCUGGUCCUAAUGAGGCUUCGGCUUGGCUACAGCCUGUGAUAUGUCCGCAAUGUGGAGAGCAACACUUGCCAAUUUCACAAGGGAAAAUCUUAUUUUUUGGCUCCCUCGAGACACUCUGAAUAGAGUAAGACCCUCAAGUUUUCUUGAACACUAUCCCAAUGCAACAUGCAUCAUAGAUUGCACUGAAAUAUUUGUCCAAAGACCGAAGAACUUGGGGAAAAGAGCAAAAACAUACAGCAACUAUAAGCAUCACAACACCUACAAAGUCCUCUAUUGCAUAGCCCCCAAUGGUUUUGUGAUGUAUGUGUCAAAACUGUUUGGUGGCAGAGCUAGUGACACUUUUAUCUUAAACUGUGGAUUUCUGGUGAUCAGAUUUUGACAGACCGGGGAUUCACAAUUGGAGAUGUUCUUCCUCCAGGAGUGACAUUGGCUAUUCCAGCAUUUACACGUGGAUGUACACAACUAUCAGAACAUGAAGUCACAAGAACCCGCCGUCUCGCCAAUGUCCGAAUUCAUGUUGAACGUGCAAUAAGAAGGUUAAAAUGCUUCAAAAUUUUGAGUAAUGUAAUUCCAGGUUGAUUAAAACAUGUUGAUGACAUUUUGACUAUUUGUGCAGGCCUGUGUAACCUUCUUGAAAUCUUACAAACAUGUUUGGCAUACACUACACUUGUCCCUGUCUGUAGGCCUACAUGUCAGCAUCAUCUUCCAACUUGUCAGCGAUACUAUGCCCAAGAUAUUUUGUACUGCUUGACACACAGUGAUUGCCCUGACAGGUAAAACGUUGGAAAGACUUAAGAUCCUGAACAUAACACUUUUUUGCAUUGUACUGUAGGCCUACAUCAAACUCAACCCCAUACUCAGAGCACACAUUCAGAAGUUGCUGAAACUCAACAGCGCUGGGGGACAUGGGCCUAAUAGCCAGAUCAUCAAAUGGUUGAAAACAGUGCAUGUGUUUUAUUGUCUGUGUCUAAAUCUCGUCAUACAUCCAGUGCGUUUUGUUUUUUUUAACAGACGUGUUUUCACAAUGACACUCUGAGAAUUUACUUUUGAACAAAGUGUCUUGUGUAUAAAAUGGUGUGCAGACA